rnacentral:rRNA from 1 species
UACGUAGGGUGCAAGCGUUGUCCGGAAUUAUUGGGCGUAAAGAGCUCGUAGGCGGCCUGUCACGUCGACUGUGAAAACCCGAGGCUCAACCUCGGGCCUGCAGUCGAUACGGGCAGGCUAGAGUUCGGUAGGGGAGACUGGAAUUCCUGGUGUAGCGGUGAAAUGCGCAGAUAUCAGGAGGAACACCGGUGGCGAAGGCGGGUCUCUGGGCCGAAACUGACGCUGAGGUGCGAAAGCGUGGGGAGCAAACAGG